CUGGAGAUGAUCCGUACAGAGUUCAGGACUGCUCUGAACCAAGUUAUGGAGGCCAUAGAGGCCCGGCAGCCAAAGGAGUCAGAGUCCUUGGGGCAACUUGAAAUGCUGCAAAACCCUACAGAAACAAAUGAGGAACUAAAGGAUAUCUGUGAAACACUUAAAGACUCCCACUAUCGAAGGGAAAUGAUUCGAUACCUGACCCUCUGCUGUGGCCUGGACCUGGGCUCAGGAAUCAGACGAAUGAUGAGAAAAAUUAGAACAGAGGAGCUGUGGACAGGCUACUCCUUGAAGGGCAGGAAGGGGAAGAGGGCCUUUAAUGAGCUAUCAAUCUAUGAUGCUGUCACAAGAGCGUCCCUGAAAGCACACCCCAAGGC